rnacentral:rRNA from 1 species
GUGAGGAAUAUUGGUCAAUGGGCGGGAGCCUGAACCAGCCAAGUCGCGUGAAGGAAGAAGGAUCUAUGGUUCGUAAACUUCUUUUGCAGGGGAAUAAAGUGCAGGACGUGUCCUGUUUUGUAUGUACCCUGAGAAUAAGGAUCGGCUAACUCCGUGCCAGCAGCCGCGGUAAUACGGAGGAUCCGAGCGUUAUCCGGAUUUAUUGGGUUUAAAGGGUGCGUAGGUGGUUUGAUAAGUCAGCGGUGAAAGUUUGCAGCUUAACUGUAAAAAUGCCGUUGAAACUGUCGGACUUGAGUGUAAAUGAGGUAGGCGGAAUGCGUGGUGUAGCGGUGAAAUGCAUAGAUAUCACGCAGAACUCAGAUGGCGAAGGCAGCUUACUAAGCUACAACUGACACUGAAGCACGAAAGCGUGGGGAUCAAACAGGAUUAGAAACCCUAGUAGUCC